UUUCUGAAAAAUGUCCAUAGUUUUGGAUCUGAAUCGCUCAGACGACAUGCUGGACCAGAAUGGCUCCCUGAAACAGAUCGAGAUCAACACCGUGUUUCUCCACGCACACCAGACGUCCACCGGGAUGUUCACACAACUAGUUAUCAAGUUAUUUCUUGAAAUAUCCCCUGUGGAGUAUUCUUUCUAAAUAAGGCCUAUUAUUAUUUCAUCAUUAGGCACAUUCUGAAGAGGCCUGGUCAGCUGGAUGAAAGCAAGCAUGUCCUAGACGACAACCAUUCUGCAAGUCUGGCAAAGGGACUAGCUAAAGCUUGGGACCUCUACGGCUCGGAGAGGGCAGUGGUCCUGUUUCUGGUUGAAGCAUUUUUGGCCAUAGAUAUAUUGAGAAUGAGCUAUGGAACAGACAAAUUCCUGUUAUAUGAAGACGGUUUGACGAUGUAUCGAAGAUGGGAUUCCUUGAUGAAAACGAGGCGAUUUGUG